GUAGGUGAACCUGCGGAAGGAUCAUUAUUGUAAACCCGUCCCGGCGGACUGCACCGCUGACGGAGAGGGAUCGCUGCUGGCUCCCACCUAACGCCGGGAGUAAUGUGCACUCCCUAACAUUCCAAUCACACCUGUGCACCUUUUAUGGGAUUUGAAGUCUCUCUGCCCCGGCAUCAUUGCUGGGCUGUGGGGGCCUCGUCCUAUUUACACUACACCCAGUUUGUAAAUGCAUGUCUUUGUUCUAAGGAACGGAAUACAACUUUCAACAACGGAUCUCUUGGCUUUCGCAUCGAUGAAGGACGCCGCGAAAGUGCGAAACGUAAUGUGAAUUGCAGAAUUCAGUGAAUCAUCGAAUCUUUGAACGCAUCUUGCGCUCCUUGGUAUUCCGAGGAGCAUGCCUGUUUGAGUGUCGCGUGUGAGUGUGAAGCUCUCAAACCCCCCCAAGGUUUGUGGGGGUUUGGAUGUGGACGUCUGCCGUAUUUGCGGCUCGUCUUGAAAUGUAUCAGCCGGUCCCUGACCUUGGUUUCUAAUGACAGUGUGAUAAGAUGCCUACUGUGUAACACUGUUCUUGAAUCCAAGGGAGCGGACUGCUUCUAACUGUCCCCUGGGACAAUAUUAGAAAUAAGACCUCAAAUCAGGU
rnacentral:rRNA from 1 species